UACGAAGGGGGCUAGCGUUGCUCGGAAUCACUGGGCGUAAAGGGUGCGUAGGCGGGUCUUUAAGUCAGGGGUGAAAUCCUGGAGCUCAACUCCAGAACUGCCUUUGAUACUGAAGAUCUUGAGUCCGGGAAAGGUGAGUGGAACUGCGAGUGUAGAGGUGAAAUUCGUAGAUAUUCGCAAGAACACCAGUGGCGAAGGCGGCUCACUGGCCCGGUACUGACGCUGAGGCACGAAAGCGUGGGGAGCAAACAGG
rnacentral:rRNA from 1 species